rnacentral:rRNA from 1 species
AUUGAACGCUGGCGGCAUGCUUUACACAUGCAAGUCGAACGGUAACAGGGUGCUUGCACCGCUGACGAGUGGCGAACGGGUGAGUAAUGCGUCGGAACGUGCCGAGUAAUGGGGGAUAACGCAUCGAAAGGUGUGCUAAUACCGCAUACGCUCUGAGGAGGAAAGCUGGGGAUCGAAAGACCUGGCGUUAUUCGAGCGGCCGACGUCUGAUUAGCUAGUUGGUGAAGUAAAGGCUCACCAAGGCGACGAUCAGUAGCGGGUCUGAGAGGAUGAGCCGCCACACUGGGACGGAGAAACGGCCCGGACUCCUACGGGAGGCAGCAGUGGGGAAUUUUGGACAAUGGGGGCAACCCUGAUCCAGCCAUGCCGCGUGUCUGAAGAAGGCCUUCGGGUUGUAAAGGACUUUUGUUAGGGAGCAAGUCCUGCAGGUUAAGAGCUAGUAGGGAUGAGAGUACCUAAAGAAUAAGCACCGGCUAACUAGGUGCCAGCCGCCGCAGUAACAC